rnacentral:ribozyme from 1 species
ACUCGACUAAGCGAGUAUAAACAGACAUUUAGGCUUAGAGCGUUCCCUGUGAAAACGGGGAGGUUGUA